GCAUCCAUGGAGGAGGGAGCUGGAGCGUUGGUGCUCGUACCUCGACUUGCUUCUGCAGGGACUGCACGUAGUUGAUGAUCUCGUCGAGCAUGCCGGCCUUGCCGGUGACCUUGUUGCAACCGGGCACCAGCUCCUGCAGCUCUCGCCUCGCAACAAAGACGCGAGAUGGAGGCAGGAUCAAUGGCGGUGGCGUACCCGUUCGGCGAGGCUGUGGCUGUCCGUGGCCUGCCCACGGCGGGCUCUGACGUGGAUGUAGUCGGUCUUCUGGCCGGCGGUCACCGUCGACGCCGAGGUCGCCGGGGAAUCCUUGGGUGACGCCACCUCCGCCUUCUUCUUGGCUCCUGGCCGUGCCCUCUCCGGCCUUCCUUUCCCCACCGCCGCCGCCAUCUGAUCGGGAUGACACGGCUGCUGCUGCUGUUGCUGCUUCCCUCUCUGCCUCUUGCAGAUGCUGUUGCUCUCACCCUGACACAGGUACAUACACAAGCCAGUCAAAUACUCGGUCGGGUAGUAGCUGAACUCUUUGCAGCCAAUGCACAAAUCUCUCUCACCUUUGCGUCGUCCGGUCUCCUCUUCCGGAAGCUGCCUCCGCCGCCGCUGCUGCCGCUGCCGUUGCUGGCCUCCGGCGCCAGCGGCGGCUCGCCGCCUAAGCUCCCGUAACACAUGCUUGCCAGGUCCUGCCACUCCUGGAGGUAGCCGAACAUGGCGCGGCACUUGUCGUCGUCGAGCAUGACGUCGUCGAGUAGCCCCUGGCAGAGGCUCUCGACGGUGUCAAGGUGACCCUUCCGGUGUCGUGAAACGUCGCCGCCGCCGCAUUGCGCCAUAUUACUAACCACUUAGCAAGAAGAGAAGACGAUCAAUUCUAGGAACAAAGCUAAGAUUUGGUUGGUUCUUCCUAUCCUUUGAUGCAAAUAGGUAGUAUGUGACCCUUUCAAGGUAAGCAACAGGAUGGUAGCUAAUGUGUAAGCUUAAGGGGAGGGUUCUUGUGCCUGAAGUUUGCGUGUCCCUUUCUCUCCCUCCCUCUUUUGCUCUUCAGGAAUUUUUUCCUAAUCCAUAUAUAUAGAGUGGACGAUAGGUGGAUAGAGAGGAGGAACCUUUCAUUGUGUAAUCGUACUUUUGGUAUGAGAUUGGAUUUGGCCCUUUAGGUAUGUUCAUGUGAGGUAGGGCUGGAUAAAGUAGUGCGGGUCCCUGUGUUUCAGCUGGCAUAUGCAUUGGCUAGAACGUCUCAUCAAUUGGCCCUCCUGUAAUCCACAAAUUAGCAAUUAUGCUCUUGCUUUCAUUUCCUCUACAAAAGAACAUAUAAAUGUGAGAAUCAAUGGGAUUGCUUUAGUUAUGGGCAUAUGAAUCAACACCAUAUCAGGCAAUAAGAUGUUGGCUCUUGAACCACUCCAUAUUAUUUACUCAUUAUAUACUGCAUCAUCCUUUUCAAUUUGCUUUUGAAUCAUAGUCAUAGCCAUUCUCAAGUAUCAACUUAAGUGAUGAUCAUGCUCCAUGCACUUAGCUAACCUUUUUCUAAAGGAAUAACAUGCACAAGGUUUUAUUUGUGCAUAUACUGAAAUAAGAGGUGGCUUCUGAACAUUUGCUGAUGCUGCAAAAGGACGAUUGGGGAGGUGACAGCUGCUCCAUUAACCUGUAUGGACAGCUCUAUCUUCUCUGCACUGACCCUUGUCCCACCACACCAUACUCGCCACGUGUACAUUUGCAUUAAGAAAUAAGAUGCUCAGAUUAGUGAUAACCCGUUGGCCAUAUUACUGAACAGAACCGGACUUUGCAUUCCAGUUCGUUAACACGAGUAUUCCUUAAUGAGCAGUGCACGUGAACAUCGGCUUAAUUUUUGUCCACUGACAAUCUCCUGGUGAUUGUCUGGAAGCAUGCAUUGCACCCCAUCUUGGUGUCUGUUGUCUAGCACAUUAUGGAAGCAGGAUAUUGAGGGGAACUGUUAGUUUAAGUAGAAGAGACUAUUUUCUUUUGAAGGGCAAGUAAUGCUGCUAUAGAUCAUGAUUAGAUGGAAUUGUGCAACAGUUAGUGGUUGUUCAAAGACAGGAGUGGAUUCGAAAAAACCUGGAGUGCUUCUGUUCGUUUUGCGGCUAGGCGGUUUUCAGUUUAGCAUUCAACUAUAUUAGCUCCCUGUCUAAUUAAUGAACGUUUGUGUGGAUCUGCUGAUGAUCUUAUUAA